UAGGGAAUCUUCCACAAUGGACGCAAGUCUGAUGGAGCAACGCCGCGUGAGUGAAGAAGGUUUUCGGACCGUAAAGCUCUGUUGUUGGUGAAGAAGGAUAGAGGUAGUAACUGGCCUUUAUUUGACGGUAAUCAACCAGAAAGUCACGGCUAACUACGUGCCAGCAGCCGCGGUAAUACGUAGGUGGCAAGCGUUGUCGGGAUUUAUUGGGCGUAAAGCGAGCGCAGGCGGAAGAAUAAGUCUGAUGUGAAAGCCCUCGGCUUAACCGAGGAAUUGCAUCGGAAACUGUUUUCUUGAGUGCAGAAGAGGAGAGUAGAACUCCAUGUGUAGCGGUGGAAUGCGUAGAUAUAUGGAAGAAUACCAGUGGCGAAGGCGGCUCUCUGGUCUGCAACUGACGCUGAGGCUCGAAAGCAUGGGUAGCGAACAGGAUUAGAUACCCUGGUAGUCCAUGCCGUAAACGAUGAGUGCUAAGUGUUGGAGGGUUUCCGCCCUUCAGUGCUGCAGCUAACGCAUUAAGCACUCCGCCUGGGGGAGUACGACCGCAAGGUUGAAAC
rnacentral:rRNA from 1 species